rnacentral:lncRNA from 1 species
CCUGUAUUUGUGCUAUUCCUACCGUACAUGUGCAUUUCUCCAUUCACGGUGUAAGUAAGAAUAUCCGUAAAGCACAUUGGAGACGUAGUACGAGCUGUAAAGAAUUUCAUCUUCAAAUUUCAAGUGACCCAUGAUAAUUCUUCAUACAAAGAACAAUGAAAACUCAUUUAUUACAUCUAUUAAUAAGAGAAAUUGUAUUAUUUUGUUAGAUUAUAUUGCAUUAUUGUACAAAUAACAAUAUUAUUACCUUUAUAUCAUCCUGUAUAGCUUGAAUUACAUUUCAUAAGUCGAAAAAUACAAGGAAA